rnacentral:rRNA from 1 species
CCUACGGGAGGCAGCAGUGAGGAAUAUUGGUCAAUGGACGCAAGUCUGAACCAGCCAUGCCGCGUGCAGGAAGACGGCUCUAUGAGUUGUAAAAUGCUUUUGUACGAGGGGAAACGCAGAUACGCGUAUCUGUCUGAAAGUAGCGUACGAAUAAGGAUCGGCUAACUCCGUGCCAGCAGCCGCGGUAAUACGGAGGAUUCAAGCGUUAUCCGGAUUUAUUGGGUGUAACGGGUGCGUAGGCGGUCGGAUAAGUUAGAGGUGAAAUCCCGAGGCUCCACUUCGGAAUUGCCUCUGUUACUGUUCGGCUAGAGCGUAGUUGCGGUAGGCGGAAUG